UCCCCGGUGGUCUAGGGGUCAGGAUUUGGCACUCUCACUGCUGCAGCCUGGGUUCAAUUCCCAGCCAGGGAA
rnacentral:tRNA from 1 species